AUGGAGGCUAUUAGAUUCAUGGAGAAUGCAUAUGGCAAAGAAAUGAGGGGCUACCACUACACCCAUGUCAAGAGGCUAGAAAAUCAAGUGACGCACCUGGUCAAAUGGUUGACUUCAUCCAAUGAGACAAUCAAGAAGCUGCGCAAAACAUGCUACUACGCUGUCAGGUACAUGAACUCAUAUUCUGCCCAGAUAGAAAACACAAUAGCUGCUCGCCACCUGAAAGGUCAGGACAACACCAAAGGAGUUAUGAAAACAGCUCUUGCAAGCAUCGAAGGACCGACGCAAAGGCUACGCUACAUUGCUAUGAAGUUUGAGCAGUGCCUUGAAGCAACCAGAAACAGUUUCUGGUAA
rnacentral:rRNA from 1 species